GCCAAACAGCUAGCUCAAACCCCAAGAUUAAACCAACAACAUUACCACCCUUGUUUGACCCAAAACCUUCAAACUAAACCAUUCUCCUGCCUUAGUACGGGCGACGAAAAAGGCAACUAGAAGCUAUAGACACAGUACCGCAAGGGAAAGCUGAAAAAGAAAUGAAACAACCCAUUUAAGCCAAAAAAAGCAGAGACUAAACCUCGUACCUUUUGCAUCAUGAUUUAGCCAGCAUCCUUGAGCAAAGAGAACUUUAGUUCAAACCCCCGAAACCAAGUGAGCUACCUCGGGACAGCCUAUUAGGGCCAACCCGUCUCUGUGGCAAAAGAGUGGGAAGAUCCCCAGGUAGAGGUGACAAGCCUAUCGAACUUGGUGAUAGCUGGUUGCCUAAGAAAUGGAUAGAAGUUCAGCCUCGCGCUCCUCAACUCACCACACCCAAUCAUGAGACAGAGAAAGACACGAGAGUUAGUCAAAGGGGGUACAGCCCCUUUGAAACAGGACACAACCUUAUUUAGGAGGUUAAGGAUCACACUCAACAAGACUCCUGCUUCAGUGGGCCUAAAAGCAGCCACCUGUACAGAAAGCGUUACAGCUCAAGCAAACAACAAGUCUAUUAUUCUGAUACCUAAUCCAAAACCCCUUACCCAUAUUAGGCCUUUCCAUGCCAACAUGGAAGAGACCCUGCUAGAAUGAGUAAUAAGAAGGGAACCCACCCCCUUCUCCCAGCCUCAGUGUAAAUCAGAUCGGACCCACCACUGACAAUUAACGAACCCAAGACAAGAGGACAAUGUGGCCAUAAAAACAACCAGGAAAACCCCACACUACAUGAUCGUUAACCCCACACUGGAGGGCCUCAAGGGAAAGACUAAAAGGAGAGAAAGGAACUCGGCAAACACAAGCCUCGCCUGUUUACCAAAAACACCGCCUUCUGCAAAAAUCAACGUAUAGAAGGUCCUACCUGCCCAGUGACUCACGUUUAACGGCCGCGGUAUUCUGACCGUGCUAAGGUAGCGCAAUCACUUGUCUUUUAAAUGGAGACCUGUAUGAAUGGUGGAACGAGGGCUUAACUGUCUCCCUCCCCCAGUCAAUGAAAUUGAUCUACCCGUGCAGAAGCGGGUAUUUACCUAUAAGACGAGAAGACCCUUUGGAGCUUAAGACAAAAGACCAACUGCACCAAGAACCCAAAUAAAAUGGCACCAAAUAAAAGCAACAACUGGCCCGCGUCUUCGGUUGGGGCGACCGUGGGGCACAACAAAACCCCCAUGCGGAAUGGGAAAACUCCUAAAACCAAGAGAGACAUCUCUAAGCCACAGAACAUCUGACCAUAAAGAUCCGGCAACAGCCGAUCAACGGACCAAGUUACCCUAGGGAUAACAGCGCAAUCCCCUUCGAAAGUCCAUAUCGACAAGGGGGUUUACGACCUCGAUGUUGGAUCAGGACAUCCUAACGGUGCAGCCGCUGUUAAGGGUUCGUUUGUUCAACGAUUAAAGUCCUACGUGAUCUGAGUUCAGACCGGAGCAAUCCAGGUCAGUUUCUAUCUAUAAAGCCACUUUUCCUAGUACGAAAGGACCGGAAAAAGGGGGCCCAUGCUUCAGGCACGCCCCACCCCAACUUAGUGAAACCAACUAAACUAAACAAAGGGGGCAGACCCUACGCUCAAGAUAAGAGU
rnacentral:rRNA from 1 species